rnacentral:rRNA from 1 species
UGGGGAGGGUUGUGCCCUUGAGGCGUGGCUUCCGGAGCUAACGCGUUAAGUCGACCGCCUGGGGAGUACGGCCGCAAGGUUAAAACUCAAAUGAAUUGACGGGGGCCCGCACAAGCGGUGGAGCAUGUGGUUUAAUUCGAUGCAACGCGAAGAACCUUACCUACUCUUGACAUCCAGAGAACUUUCCAGAGAUGGAUUGGUGCCUUCGGGAACUCUGAGACAGGUGCUGCAUGGCUGUCGUCAGCUCGUGUUGUGAAAUGUUGGGUUAAGUCCCGCAACGAGCGCAACCCUUAUCCUUUGUUGCCAGCGGUUAGGCCGGGAACUCAAAGGAGACUGCCAGUGAUAAACUGGAGGAAGGUGGGGAUGACGUCAAGUCAUCAUGGCCCUUACGAGUAGGGCUACACACGUGCUACAAUGGCGCAUACAAAGAGAAGCGACCUCGCGAGAGCAAGCGGACCUCAUAAAGUGCGUCGUAGUCCGGAUUGGAGUCUGCAACUCGACUCCAUGAAGUCGGAAUCGCUAGUAAUCGUAGAUCAGAAUGCUACGGUGAAUACGUUCCCGGGCCUUGUACACACCGCCCGUCACACCAUGGGAGUGGGUUGCAAAAGAAGUAGGUAGCUUAACCUUCGGGAGGGCGCUUACCACUUUGUGAUUCAUGACUGGGGUGAAGUCGUAACAAGGUAAACCGUAAACGAUCAC